rnacentral:lncRNA from 1 species
UGAAAACAGAACUUUAGUUUUUUGGCUCCUGCAGUUUUUUCUCGUAGAUCGCCUGAACUUCUCGCAGACAGACAGACUGUUUAAACUGUGAAGCUUCCCGAGGGGCAAAUGCAUCUGAUCAAAGUGUGUGUUGUCUUUUUGAUCCAUCUGAUCCCGAAUCCUGAGAUCCACAUCAGAUCCAUCAGCUGAAAUGAAGUCAGAUAUCCUCCAAGAAAACAGCUGCAGACACGGUGAGGAAAGUUUCUCUGAAACUUGGUCUGUUUUCCUUUUUUUUUUGUUAGGUGUUGCAAACCGUAAAAAUAUUUCCUAACUUUAUUUUUUUUUUACAAACAACCCAAAUGCUGUUUACCCAGGUGUGACCUCAAUCUCAGAUCUGGAAAGCGCCAUCAGUUCUUGUCCUUGUUUGUGAUGGGCCCAGCUGUGACCUACAGAAAACUCGAGGUAAACUCCAGAGCGGUGAUGCUGCAGAGCCAGCAGGUCUGUUAGCCGUUAGCUCGUUUAUCCAUCUAACUAAAAAAAUGACCACAUGAUAACGGUCGGAGAUCAUUGUUUUGAUUACAGGCUGGAGUUCAAAGGUCAUUCUUGCAGACGGCGUAGACAGUGCAGAAGCAGAUCUCUCUGUAACCCUGACGUUUGUUCCUCAGCUUCCCUCGAAAGCCUCGAUCUGAGGUGGACCCUCCAGUCAUGCUGGCUGCUGGUUCUUGUUAGUCCGGGGAUGUGGACUGCAAAACAGAAACCAGAUCAGAUCAGAUCAGAGGGGAAAAGUGGUCGACAACAACAACAAACCGGCAGACGACCUCGGACUCCGACUUCUGUGGACUCGGCUGCUCCUCAUGUCGGCUGGAGGUCGACGCCGAGAAGAUCACAUCGUCUGCAUAGAGCAGAGAUGGAGCUCUGCAGCUUCUGGUGAACCGUGACAACAUGAACUAUGAAGGUAGUGAGGAGCCUGUGGACAGAGCUCUGUCCUGAUUGGUUGAUUAUUUGGCUCUAAAUUUAUAGAUAUUUGUGUUCGAUCCAGACGUGAAAACGGGUCGUGAAAAGCAGCUGCAAGAACAGUUUUUUUGUUGUGAUCGUGCUUUUCACAAAUGACACUUUUAACAUCUAAAAACAGAGAUCUGACUCCAUGAUGAGGUUUGCGUGAGAACAGCUUUUCACUGCCGGUAAAAAAAAGAACUUUUGGGACUUUGGCGGCAGACGGUCCUUUUAGCGGCUGUUCCCGAGCUUUAAAUCACGUCACAUGAUCUUUUCCAGCAGAUGGAGUUUGUCCCAUUUCUCUAAUGUUUUAGAUUUUCCAAAUGUGCUUUUAUUUCAGAGGAUUUGAAGGAUUUCAUGAAGAGACAGAAGUUAAAAUAACAAAACCUUUAAAGCUGCAGCAGGAAAAAAAAAAAGGAAUAUUUAAUUUAUUUAAUCGUUGGUUAUUUUUGUGCGGUUGCUUUGUUUGUUUUGGUUUAAUACGACGUCGACCUGCACGUGUGUGUGUGUGUGUGUGUGUGUGCAGAUGUCACGCCGCUCCGACAGUUUGACUUCAGUGUUUAAUCUGUUUAAUCCUCUGCUCUGCUCUCGUCUUAUCUUCCUGCUUCAUGAUGUUUGUUUGGAGAUCUCCACUUUUGUGUGUUCCUGAUGACAGCAAACACAUGCGAGCGCCGCGCGCACUCCACUCCAACCAAAUCCUCUUUACUGCCGCUAUCAGGAAGGUAAAUCUGAUCCAGUCAUCUUGCAUUUGUAAAAAAAAGACUCGCUGCUUGAAUUUAUCCGUGCAGGUUUGUUUUCCAUCUAACUGACGGCAGAGAGAGAAAAAAAAGAAAAUCUCUGGCAAAAUGGCCAAAGCUGAUAAAUCCAGAUAAUCUCUUCAGUCCACAGAUCUUCAGCAGCAGCAGCAGCAGCCUGACUCUGCUGCACACUGCAAAAAAGAUCAGCUGAAUAUUCAAACAUUCAAGAUUUCUGUUCUUCAAGAGAGGAGGGAUGAAAUAUUUGACCAGAGAAUGAAACUUGGUGUCGAAGUCUGCAGCAGAAAACGAGAUUAAAAUCCAGAAAUUUAGAUUUGACUUUGAGGAACAUGAGAAGAUCAGACAAUAAAAUAAACAUCCUGUUUUACAAAUCUAAAUUUAGUGUCAGAGGGAUGAAAGUUACUGAAGUGUGAACUGAUUUUCCUCCAGAUGAAAAAUGGAGAGUCACUGCGACAGUCUCGAGAAAAAGUGUCACAGAUGAAGCAAAGACAGUCAAACACCUGAGAAUAUGGAUUAAAACAAAAAUAAAAUUACCGUAAAAUAUGAAAUAUAGUGGCACUGUAAUUUGGAGACUUCUGCUCCUUUCAGAAACGUGCAGUUUUCAUGCGGAUGUGAAGCUCAUGAAAGAACAUCUGUGGUUUUCUCCUUCACUGAUGGACUCACUGCAAACAACUGAAUAAGAAGAUUUUCUUCAUCUUGGUUCUUCCAUGAGUUUUACACAGAGGUCAGACUUUUCCACAGGAGACAGGAGUCAGUCCGUUUCCAUGACACUCAAGAAAACCGAAUUAUCGCCUUAUUCCGAUUAAGACCGGACAACUGAAGGUCAUGUAAACACUUUAGUCCGACUAUAAUCAGAGUUUGAGAACUCUGAUGAAGACACUCAGAUAAUGAGAUUAGAAUUCGAUUUUCUCUACCAUGUAACCAGCGUAGUCGGACAAUGCAUGUGCACGUGCGACACGCCACCAGAGUAGAGGAGUAGCGUUGGUCUCAUCUUUAGAAAAAGUAGCGCGUCCAUCAUGUCGGACAAAAACAACGCUGUACGAUGCUCCAUCUUCUUGUUUCUCCAAAAUGUCCAGCAGCAGUUGUAGACACUUCUGACGUCUGACACCGACCUGCUGUUGUUGUUGACGGUUGUAUGGGGUCGGAAACAGACCCAUAUCGCCCCCUAGUGUUGGGGAGGAGGACACGUAAUUUUCUCAGCUGCAUGUACACACAGUGACCGGAUCUUAACCGAGUGUUACAACGACGCUGACAGGAGAAGAUGAAUCUUAUUUUUUAAUUCCUCUCUCUGUUUUUUUUUUUCUCGCUCACCCUCAGGAAGUGCAUUUCCACACUUCCUUAAAAGGCAUUCUCAUUGGCUCUCUCAUGUUGAUUGUUAAUUGACUGACAGGAAACCUAGUGCAUCACAUCCAUUACCUGUAGGUGACCAAAGUGAAAGUUCUGAAGUUAAUUUGAUGUUCGAACUCUGACGACCGUGACCUGAGGUGAAAAACUAAAGAGGUUCAUUCGGCCGGUCGAUGAUAAAUUUAUAAAACAGUUUGUCUCUAAAGGACAGAAAAGUAAAAAACAUUUUUCCGCCUCCCUUCCCUCUGCAGCCUCAUCAGAGGUUCACGUGGCGUCGGCGUGACGUCGUCUGUGAUGAGUUAUUUCUCGUCCCACCUGAGAUGGCCGAAACUUGUUAGGAACAAAACUUUUUUUUUACCUCUCUGGCCUUUAUAGAUGAACCGUUUUAUAAACGCUGAAAAACUGACCUUUCACUCGUUCUCUUCGUACGUGUCUUUUUUGUUCGCAGACUGAAGUUGUGAGUUCUGAGCUUGCAACUCCCAUUAGGGGUUUUCCAGAAAAGUCUGCAGAGCUGUGUGAUGAUAAAGAGGGAAAAAAACAUACUUAUUCUUCUUUGUGCUGUUCCUUUUUUUUUUUUGUGAAGUAGUUUGAAAGAAAAAUAACUCUCUGACUGAAAUGGUUGCAGCCCCCAAAACACAGCAAGACUCCUGCGAUGAAGAAUUGCUGGCGGUGAAGACUGUGAUUUAUUUUUAAGGGUUCACGGGCCGAAAAGGUUGAAAACAGCAGCUAUAAGGGACUGUGCAGGCUGGAGCUCAGUGCCAAAAACAAGAUUUAGUCUCUGCUGUAAAACCUCGAGGAGGAAAUGAAGAUCUUCUCUCCGUGUUUGCAUGUUGUUCAAACGCCGACACUGCAUGCUGCGGAGUAUUUACAGUGACUCUGUUCUCCUUGUGUAGCUCUAAUCACACAACAUCAGUCCUUUUCCUUUUGUUGUAUCUUUUGCAGUCGUGUUGUGUAAAGCUGGGAUGCGACGGGGCAUAAUUACAAAUUCCAGAAUGUUAAUAAAGGAGCGGCUGCUGAUUUAGCUAAGAGGCUCAGUGUGUACCGUUUAAAGACGAGUUUCCCCCCCGUCUGAAUAUUCAUCAGAGCCGCACUCAGCUGAAGAUGAAACAGCCUCAUUGUUCAUCAGCGGCAGCAGCAGCCUCUCCAUCAUGUUAUGCACAUAUUAAUGACGAGGACAAUUCACUUGGAGUGAUUCCUAAUCUGUUGACAAGAAGUCUCUGCAGGCCCUUCAGUCAGUUUGAUGCACACGAUGACGAUGUUUUAUCUGCAAAUCCCCCCGAGAGGAGAGACGGAUGAACGCUGUAAAAAAAAAAGAAAAAAUCUACAAGUCGUUUACGCAAAGUGUGCACUCCUGGAAAUCACUCUGUGAGGAAGAUAAAGCGCGGGCUAAUGGAGGAGAUUAUUCAGCUGUUUGUGAUCGAAAUCAACCUGUUUGUACAGAUUUAUCUGCAGCUCCACAUUAUGUUUCAAUAAUACGACAGGACGCUCAAACAAUACGAGCAGAGGACAAUAACGCGCGCUGGAUUACAGCGGGGUUUAAGCGUGUUUUACCCUAAUGCAUUACUGUUUUGGUGAGAAUCUGAACCGUUAUUAUAGCGACCUCACCGACACGUAAAUCCUCUUCUGCUGCUGCUGCAGACGUCUGUAUUUUAACCUCAUAAGAUGUCAUAUCUUUGAGUAUCUGAAGGCGUCUUAUCCCUAAAACCUGCAGCGUUAUAAAAAACAAUCUAUCAGAUAAGACUGAAGCAUUAAAAAAACAUUGAAUGUAUGAAAAAGGAUAAAAAAUCAGAAAGGUUUUUUAAAAUAAAAACUACAGAAAAUGUUGAUCUGGAACAAUUUGGGUCAAAGUUCAGGUCUGUUUACGCUCACCUUUAUUUUUUGUUAACAUUAUAUUUUUCAUGUUGAUGCCCGUUGUCGUGGUUUCUUUAUUAUAAAUGUUCAUCAGUUUUUGUCUUUAAUGCUAAUAAAUUAAUUAAAUAAUUAACAAUAAUAAAUGAUAAUAUUACGACGUCACAAACAUCUGCAGGUUCACAUGCAGUUUGUUGCAUCGACUCUUCAGUUGUUAAAACAAAAUGAACUUUUCUAUUUACUUUUAAAGUCGUUUUAUAAUCAAAGUAAAAAUCAGUUCAAGGUUCAACAUGGAGACUUUUUUAUCUGUAGAAGUAUUUAAACACGUAUGAAGUAUAAUGUUUUAACUUCACCUCCAAGAAUUUUAAAUAAGUGUAGAGAGCAGAGGUCGUCGUCGUCUUCCACCACCGUGUUUCUACGGUAGAGCAGAAUUUCCAAACUCGUGUCACGGCUGUUUUUGGAUUCGGUGAAUUGACGCAUAAAAUGAAGACAAGAGAAAUAAAAGUAGAGGUUGUUUUAUGCAAAAACUAUAAAUAAAUAAAUGAUACAAUGAAACUCAUUUUUGGUGGUUAAAUCUUUCCAAAUGCAGAAUCAGAUUUAACAUAAAUCUGUCCAACUGCUGAAUAUUUCCGUUUUUACACACCGCACCUUUAAAAACAUGUUUUCUGCGACAUUUGCAGGAAAAGCAACAUAAACAGUUUGUUAAAGUGCAUCAGUGUGAAAAUCCGCUUUGGAAAUAUCAAGUGAAGCUUUUUAAAUAAAUCUGUUUCUUUAUGCUUCAUGGAUUCAAAGUCAAUAUAAAUGUUUUCCUCUUUUCUUUAAGGACGAGAAAACGUGUUUGUGUCGCUUCAUUCUCGCUGCAGCGUCGACUUUUCCAAACUAAACAGGAGCGUCUUUGACUGAAUCCUGAUGAAUCUUCAAACUUUAUCGUUGAUCAAACUCUAUGAGAGCGUCUUCCUUUGUCGACUUUGAUCCAGACUGUUUUUUCAUCCCCAUUUUCAGGGUUAUACUCACUUUAACACCCGAGAGUGAGCCCUGGAUCCGUGCGCCAUUUUGAUCCUCGUACAGAUUUCGUUUGGACUUGCAACACUUUUCAGUUUUUGUGUAAUAAUCAUCAAAAAAAAAUGUCACAAAAACACCCACAGCUUCUCGAUUCUUCUGUUGUUAAAGCAACACAAACUCCUUAGUUUGAUGACUCUUCUGUGCAGACUGAUUUUUAUCUUAUUUUCUCUCUUUGUCGUCGAGUGAAAACCUUUUUUUUUCUGGUUUUCUGGGAUGAAAAUUCUCCUGGAGAAAACCAGAAUGUCACAAACCUCCGAAUUUUCCUCCUAAUUUGUCAUAAAUAUUGAAAAUGUCUCAAUAAGUUCAUCAGUUUCUGCACUUUUGAAUAUUUUUUUGCUCUUCCAGUUGUCUGAACUUUCUGCUGUCUUUUAUUUCUAACUUGCAUUUUUACUUCUAUCUCAUGUUUUAUAUUCUUUAUCACUUUAUUGUAUUUAAAAGCAACAGCAGAUCAGAUUUCCCUGUAAAAUAAACAGAAUAUUUCUGAUCUGCACCAUCAGGCGUGACUUUUUGAACAUAAACGGAGUAUUUAAAGGAGGUAAAAAGGUCCUUCUUCUGUCACUGGUUUGAUUGGAAAUCUUCAGACGGUGUUGGUAUCAGAUGUGUUUCAGACGUGUUAAACUUCUUCCCUCUCUCCUGCUGCGUGCUGCUUUUUUUAAUUCUCACACUUUGGAUGAAUUUGUUUUGAUCUCUCUCUAACUGAAGCAGCUCCGCCGUGUCAGAACCAGGCUGAAGUGCAAACCGUGAUCCACAUCCGACCGUUUCUCCACAACUAUUUUUAUCGCUUGCUAAUUAGCGAGACUUUAAUUUCUGCUCUGUCCUCCAGACGGACCACAGGGGGUUUAACACUCCACAACCUGACGCUCCCCCUUCCCCUCCACCUCCUACACGAUGAUGGCAAUCACA